UACGGGGGGUGCAAGCGUUGUUCGGAAUUAUUGGGCGUAAAGGGCGCGUAGGCGGCUUUGCAAGUGACGGGUGAAAUCCCUCGGCUUAACCGAGGAACUGCCUGUCAAACUGCAUGGCUUGAGACCGGGAGAGGUGAGUGGAAUUCCCAGUGUAGCGGUGAAAUGCGUAGAUAUUGGGAGGAACACCAGUGGCGAAGGCGGCUCACUGGACCGGUACUGACGCUGAUGCGCGAAAGCGUGGGGAGCAAACAGG
rnacentral:rRNA from 1 species